rnacentral:rRNA from 1 species
UACGAAGGGGGCUAGCGUUGCUCGGAAUUACUGGGCGUAAAGGGCGCGUAGGCGGACAUUUAAGUCAGAGGUGAAAUCCCGGAGCUUAACUUCGGAACUGCCUUUGAUACUGGGUGUCUUGAGUGUGAGAGAGGUAUGUGGAACUCCGAGUGUAGAGGUGAAAUUCGUAGAUAUUCGGAAGAACACCAGUGGCGAAGGCGACAUACUGGCUCAUUACUGACGCUGAGGCUCGAAAGCGUGGGGAGCAAACAGG